rnacentral:rRNA from 1 species
GAUGAACGCUGGCUGUGUGCCUAAUACAUGCAUGUCGAACGAAGCACUUGUGCUUAGUGGCGAAUGGGUGAGUAACACGUAGGAAUCUGUCCAGUAGCGGGGGACAACCAUUGGAAACGAUGGCUAAUACCGCAUACGCCGGAGACGGGAAAGGUGUUUGCACCACUAUUGGGGGAGCCUACGCCUGAUUAGCUUGUUGGUAGGGUAAAAGCCUACCAAGGCGAGGAUCAGUAGCCGGUCUGAGAGGACGAUCGGCCACAUUGGAACUGAGACACGGUCCAGACUCCUACGGGAGGCAGCAGUGGGGAAUAUUGGACAAUGGGCGAAAGCCUGAUCCAGCAAUGCCGCGUGAGUGAUGAAUGCUUUAGGGUUGUAAAACUCUUUUAUUGGGGAAGAUAAUGACGGUACCCAAUGAAUAAGGACCGACUAACUACGUGCCAGCCGCCGCAGUAAC